GUCAGGCCUGGUGCUGCUUGUUUGUAAUCCCUGCUAAUAGGGAGGCUGAGGCUGGUGGAUCACUUGAGCUCAGGUGUACUGGGUUUCAGUGGGUUAAGUUGAUUGGUGUCCAUAUGAAGUCAAACAAUAUAUGGUGAUUUCCGAAGAGCAGGGGCCUACCAGGCUGCCUAAGGAGGGUUGAAUCAACUCAGGUUGGAAAAACAGAGCAGUUCAAUACUUCUGUGCUCGUCAGUAAUGAGACUAAGCCCGUGAGUGGCCACUGUACUUCUAGCCUGGAUAAAAUAGAGAAAGAA
rnacentral:SRP_RNA from 1 species